rnacentral:piRNA from 1 species
AAGAAACAAGGAUGGCCUACC